rnacentral:rRNA from 1 species
UACGUAGGGGGCAAGCGUUGUCCGGAUUUACUGGGCGUAAAGAGCGUGUAGGCGGCCAAGCAGGUCCGUUGUGAAAACUGGAGGCUUAACCUCCAGACGUCGACGGAAACCGCGUGGCUAGAGUCCGGAGGAGGAGAGUGGAAUUCCUGAUGUAGCGGUGAAAUGCGCAGAUAUCAGGAAGAACACCAAUGGCGGAGGCAGCUCUCUGGGACGGUACUGACGCUGAGACGCGAAAGCGUGGGGAGCGAACAGG